GACGAACGCUGGCGGCGUGCUUAACACAUGCAAGUCGAACGGAAAGGCCCUGCUUUUGUGGGGUGCUCGAGUGGCGAACGGGUGAGUAACACGUGAGUAACCUGCCCUUGACUUUGGGAUAACUCCAGGAAACUGGGGCUAAUACCGGAUAGGAGCUCCUGCUGCAUGGUGGGGGUUGGAAAGUUUCGGCGGUUGGGGAUGGACUCGCGGCUUAUCAGCUUGUUGGUGGGGUAGUGGCUUACCAAGGCUUUGACGGGUAGCCGGCCUGGGAGGGUGGCCGGCCACAUUGGGACUGAGAUACGGCCCAGAAUCCUACGGGAGGCAGCAGUGGGGAAUAUUGCACAAUGGGCGGAAGCCUGAUGCAGCAACGCCGCGUGCGGGAUGACGGCCUUCGGGUUGUAAACCGCUUUCGCCUGUGACGAAGCGUGAGUGACGGUAAUGGGUAAAGAAGCACCGGCUAACUACGUG
rnacentral:rRNA from 1 species